rnacentral:lncRNA from 1 species
UCAAUACUACGAAUGCAUGGCAUUACAAAUAUUUUUUUAUUUUAUUUUUCAGAGACAAUUAUGACCAUUAUGUAUUCAUGUGUGAUUUGAUGAUAGAAAGAUCUCAAGUGAAAUCCAUUACAACUUUUGGCUAAAACUAACUAGGGACCUCUUUAUAAUUAGUCCAAGAUGCUUAUUCCUUUCUGUUCUCUGUUCAGCACCCUGCUUUUGCUUUUGUUUUUUGUUUUUCAUCCCUUUUCACACAAUGGAAACACCUACGGAGGGUGGACACUAUGUGCAACAUCAUCAAACUAUGUAGAAAAAAAGUUACACAACAAACGGAAAGCAAAUAAUGUUGUAAAAUAAAAAAAUAAAAACACUAACCUGUAAGUAGUGGAGCAACCGUAGCAGGAGUAAACACUAACCUGUAAAGAGUUGGCUCAAUACUUGCUUUUAUUAACUCUGAUGCUGGCUAUGCCAUCGUAUAGAUGAAAGAUAUAAAAUAAUUUGCAUCUGAGAUUUGUUUUAACAGAAAAUAAUAAUUUACCUCGUUUAGUUAAUCUGAAGGAUGAGACAUAAAUAUAACUCACUUCUGGCGCUGAGAAAAGACCGCCCAAGGUGGAACAAUUUUUCUUAUAUCCUGCACUCUCAUCCUUGCCUACAUAAUGUAAGGUCAUGAAUACAUGAGAGAAGUCUUCUUCACUUGCUUGCCUGAUUUUCUACAACCAAAACUUUCCAUUUAUCCUUCAUACCAGCAGAGCUCAAAUGCACAUUCUCCUUUUUCUUUCUUUUUUCUUUUUCUUUUGUUUGAGUUUGAAAGCUUCUUUUCCAACUCAACUUCUACCUUUUAGCUACCUUUUGAAAAAAAGAAGAAGCAGGAUGCUGAACAGAGGGAAGAGAGAAGAGGAAGAGGAAGAGGAAAAAAUGAUCUGAUUAUAGAGAGA